rnacentral:misc_RNA from 1 species
GAUGAAGAACGUAGCGAAAUGCGAUAAGUAAUGUGAAUUGCAGAAUUCAGUGAAUCAUCGAAUCUUUGAACGCACAUUGCGCCCGCCAGUAUUCUGGCGGGCAUGCCUGUCUGAGCGUCAUUUCAACCCUCAUGCCCCUAGGGCGUGGUGUUGGGGAUCGGCCAAAGCCCGCGAGGGACGGCCGGCCCCUAAAUCUAGUGGCGGACCCGUCGUGGCCUCCUCUGCGAAGUAGUGAUAUUCCGCAUCGGAGAGCGACGAGCCCCUGCCGUUAAACCCCCAACUUUCCAAGGUUGACCUCAGAUCAGGUAGGAAUACCCGCUGAACUUAAGCAUAUCAAUAAGCGGAGGA